rnacentral:lncRNA from 1 species
UGGAUGUUUGGAUGGGAGACUGAGCUGUCUCUCUUUGUUACUUGGUCAUGUAGGGAUUUUUUGUUGAGUGACUAAGUAAUGAGAAGAUGCAGUGAAGUUUCGUUUGAGCUGGAAGAAGAAGCAUGGUGACAACAAGUACGGGUCAGAUGAUGGACGAGACGUCAAACAAAGGUUGAACCAUUAUGAAGCGGUUAAGAUACAUGUUUAUAUAUAACAGUGAUAACUUAGUAAAAUCUGAUAGGUUACUGGAUUAAACUAGUUGAACAACUGGAACUGAAGUGAACCUCGUUGAGUUAUUAUGCGUAGAAAUAUUGAGUAAAGGGAAAAAAUCUGAAAAAGACCUAGUUGGAUCGUUAAAAGGAACCAAUAAUGUUAUCUGCGGUAAGGAAACCACUUCGGAUCCCUUCACUUACCCUUUGUCAUUUCGAUGAAGCUAAAAAAAAAAGCUUCCUUCAAGGAUUGGUCGUCAGUUCCUUGUGAUAGAUCUUGAGAAAAAAAGAGUGUAAAUCGAUUUUUAGGUGCACUAAGAGUUUCAAAUUGGUUGUUCAUGAUGGUUGGUGUAUUGAUGGCAAUUGCAGUUUUGUGAAUACUUGAGGAAGAUGAGGAUGAUAGAAUAAAAUAUGCAUUU